AUUGAACGCUGGCGGCAGGCCUAACACAUGCAAGUCGAACGAGUGGCGGACGGGUGAGUAAUGUCUGGGAAACUGCCUGAUGGCGGGGGAUACCUACUGGAAACGGUAGCUAAUACCGCAUACCAUCGGAUGUGCCCAGAUGGGAUUCGCUAGUAGGUGGGGUAAAGGGUCACCUAGGCGACGAUCCCUAGCGGGUCUGAGAGGAUGACCAGCCACACUGGAACUGAGACACGGUCCAGACUCCUACGGGAGGCAGCAGUGGGGAAUAUUGCACAAUGGGCGCAAGCCUGAUCCAGCAAUGCCGCGUGUGUGAAGAAGGUCUUCGGAUUGUAAAGCACUUUAAGUUGGGAGGCGUUACCAAAAGAAUAAGCACCGGCUAACUUCGUGCCAGCAGCCGCGGUAAUAC
rnacentral:rRNA from 1 species